UACAGGGGGUGCAAACGUUGCUCGGAAUCAUUGGGCGUAAAGCGCACGUAGGCGGUCUGUUAUGUCGGAUGUGAAAGCCCUUGGCUUAACUGAGGAAGUGCAUCCGAAACUGGCAGGCUAGAGUACUAAAGAGGGUCGCGGAAUUCCCGGUGUAGAGGUGAAAUUCGUAGAUAUGGGAAGGAACACCGGUGGCGAAGGCGGCU
rnacentral:rRNA from 1 species